rnacentral:lncRNA from 1 species
AUGUGGUACAUUUGUUCAGGUGUGCUCCGUGGGCCAGAAUGUGGUACAUUUGUUCAGGUGUGCUCCGUGUCUCAGAAUGUGGUACAUUUGUUCAGGUGUGCUCCGUGUCUCAGAAGGUGGUACAUUUGUUCAGGUGUGCUCCGUGUCUCAGAAUGUGGUACAUUUGUUCAGGUGUGCUCCGUGGGGCAGACGGUGGUACAUUUGUUCAGGUGUGCUCCGUGUCUCAGAAUGUGGUACAUUUGUUCAGGUGUGCUCCAUGUCUCAGAAUGUGGUACAUUUGUUCAGGUGUGCUCCGUGGGGCAGAAGGUGGUGCAUUUGUUCAGGUGUGCUCCGUGUCUCAGAAGGUGGUACAUUUGUUCAGGUGUGCUCCGUGGGGCAGAAGGUGGUACAUUUGUUCAGGUGUGCUCCGUGUCUCAGAAUGUGGUACAUUUGUUCAGGUGUGCUCCGUGUCUCAGAAUGUGGUACAUUUGUUCAGGUGUGCUCCGUGGGGCAGAAGGUGGUACAUUUGUUCAGGUGUGCUCCGUGUCUCAGAAUGUGGUGCAUUUGUUCAGUGUGCUCCGUGUCUCAGAAUGUGGUACAUUUGUCCAGGUGUGCUCUGUGGGGCAGAAGGUGGUACAUUUGUUCAGGUGUGCUCCGUGUCUCAGAAUGUGGUACAUUUGUUCAGGUGUGCUCCGUGGGGCAGAAGGUGGUACAUUUGUUCAGGUGUGCUCCGUGGGGCAGAAGGUGGUACAUUUGUUCAGGUGUGCUCCGUGUCUCAGAAUGUGGUACAUUUGUCCAGGUGUGCUCCGUGUCUCAGAAUGUGGUACAUUUGUUCAGGUGUGCUCCGUGGGGCAGAAGGUGGUACAUUUGUUCAGGUGUGCUCCGUGUCUCAGAAUGUGGUACAUUUGUUCAGGUGUGCUCCGUGGGCCAGAAUGUGGUACAUUUGUUCAGGUGUGCUCCGUGUCUCAGAAUGUGGUACAUUUGUUCAGGUGUGCUCCGUGGGGCAGACGGUGGUACAUUUGUUCAGGUGUGCUCCGUGUCUCAGAAUGUGGUACAUUUGUCCAGGUGUGCUCCGUGUCUCAGAAUGUGGUACAUUUGUCCAGGUGUGCUCCGUGGGGCAGAAGGUGGUACAUUUGUUCAGGUGUGCUCCGUGUCUCAGAAUGUGGUGCAUUUGUUCAGUGUGCUCCGUGGACCAGAAUGUGGUAUAUUUUGGUGAAUGUACCAUGUGAGCUUGACAACCAUGUGUGUUGUGUUGUGCUGUUGGAGGAAUUAGUUGACAGGUGUCUGUUAUAUCGAAUUGCUUGA